UCAGUAACACGUAGUCAACAUGCCCAGUGGACGUGGAUAACCUCGGGAAACUGAGUGAUCAAACCGCGAUAGGUCACCGCUUCUGGAAUGGGCAAUGACCCAAACCUACAUCGGCCCCUGGAUUGGACUGCGGCCGAUCAGGCUGUUGGUGAGGUCAAUGGCCCACCAAACCUGUAACCGGUACGGGCUCUGAGAGGAGGAGCCCGGAGAUGGGCACUGAGACAAGGGCCCAGGCCCUAUGGGGCGCAGCAGGCGCGAAACCUCUGCAAUCAGGCGAAAGCUUGACAGGGUUACUCUGAGUGAUUUCCGUUAAGGAGAUCUUUUGGCACCUCUAAAAAUGGUGCAGAAUAAGGGGUGGGCAAGUCUGGUGCCAGC
rnacentral:rRNA from 1 species